AAUAUUGGUCAAUGGAGGCAACUCUGAACCAGCCAAGUCGCGUGAAGGAUGAAGGUCUUAUGGAUUGUAAACUUCUUUUGCAAGGGAAUAAAGUGUAGUACGUGUACUAUUUUGCAUGUACCUUACGAAUAAGGAUCGGCUAACUCCGUGCCAGCAGCCGCGGUAAUACGGAGGAUCCGAGCGUUAUCCGGAUUUAUUGGGUUUAAAGGGUGCGCAGGCGGGAGAUUAAGUCGGCGGUGAAAUUUUGCAGCUCAACUGUAAAAGUGCCUUCGAAACUGGUUUCCUUGAGUGUGGAUGAAGUAGGCGGAAUUUGUGGUGUAGCGGUGAAAUGCAUAGAUAUCACGAGGAACUCCGAUUGCGCAGGCAGCUUACUAAGCCAUAACUGACGCUCAGACACGAAAGCGUGGGGAGCAAACAGG
rnacentral:rRNA from 1 species